GUCGAGCGGUAGAGAGGUGCUUGCACCUCUUGAGAGCGGCGGACGGGUGAGUAAUGCCUAGGAAUCUGCCUGGUAGUGGGGGAUAACGCUCGGAAACGGACGCUAAUACCGCAUACGUCCUACGGGAGAAAGCAGGGGACCUUCGGGCCUUGCGCUAUCAGAUGAGCCUAGGUCGGAUUAGCUAGUUGGUGAGGUAAUGGCUCACCAAGGCGACGAUCCGUAACUGGUCUGAGAGGAUGAUCAGUCACACUGGAACUGAGACACGGUCCAGACUCCUACGGGAGGCAGCAGUGGGGAAUAUUGGACAAUGGGCGAAAGCCUGAUCCAGCCAUGCCGCGUGUGUGAAGAAGGUCUUCGGAUUGUAAAGCACUUUAAGUUGGGAGGAAGGGCAUUAACCUAAUACGUUAGUGUUUUGACGUUACCGACAGAAUAAGCACCGGCUAACUCUGUGCCAGCAGCCGCGGUAAUACAGAGGGUGCAAGCGUUAAUCGGAAUUACUGGGCGUAAAGCGCGCGUAGGUGGUUCGUUAAGUUGGAUGUGAAAUCCCCGGGCUCAACCUGGGAACUGCAUUCAAAACUGUCGAGCUAGAGUAUGGUAGAGGGUGGUGGAAUUUCCUGUGUAGCGGUGAAAUGCGUAGAUAUAGGAAGGAACACCAGUGGCGAAGGCGACCACCUGGACUGAUACUGACACUGAGGUGCGAAAGCGUGGGGAGCAAACAGGAUUAGAUACCCCUGGUAGUCCACGCCGUAAACGAUGUCAACUAGCCGUUGGGAGCCUUGAGCUCUUAGUGGCGCAGCUAACGCAUU
rnacentral:rRNA from 1 species